rfam:Apaloderma vittatum contig9846, whole genome shotgun sequence.
GGCCAGUUAGCUCAGUGGUUUGAGCGCAGUGCUCGCAACAAGGACGAACACCGAGGUUGCGGGUUCUAUUCCCGCUCGGUCCC